CCUACGGGAGGCAGCAGUAGGGAAUUUUUCACAAUGGGCGAAAGCCUGAUGGAGCAACGCCGCGUGCAGGAUGAAGGCCUUCGGGUUGUAAACUGCUUUUAUAAGCGAGAAAUAUGAUGGUAACUUAUGAAUAAGGAUCGGCUAACUACGUGCCAGCAGCCGCGGUCAUACGUAGGAUCCGAGCAUUAUCCGGAGUGACUGGGUGUAAAGAGUUGCGUAGGUGGAAUAAUAAGUAGCUAGUGAAAUCUGGUGGCUCAACCAUUCAGACUAUUAGCUAAACUGUUAAGCUCGAGACCGUUAGGGGUAACUGGAAUUUCUAGUGUAGGAGUGAAAUCCGUAGAUAUUAGAAGGAACACCAAUAGCGUAGGCAGGUUGCUGGGACGGUUCUGACACUAAGGCACGAAAGCGUAGGGAGCAAACGGGAUUAGAUACCCGUGUAGUC
rnacentral:rRNA from 1 species